GGGGAAUAUUGCACAAUGGGCGCAAGCCUGAUGCAGCCAUGCCGCGUGUAUGAAGAAGGCCUUCGGGUUGUAAAGUACUUUCAGCGAGGAGGAAGGCAUUAAGGUUAAUAACCUUAGUGAUUGACGUUACUCGCAGAAGAAGCACCGGCUAACUCCGUGCCAGCAGCCGCGGUAAUACGGAGGGUGCAAGCGUUAAUCGGAAUUACUGGGCGUAAAGCGCACGCAGGCGGUUUGUUAAGUCAGAUGUGAAAUCCCCGAGCUUAACUUGGGAACUGCAUUUGAAACUGGCAAGCUAGAGUAUGGGAGAGGAUGGUAGAAUUCCAGGUGUAGCGGUGAAAUGCGUAGAGAUCUGGAGGAAUACCGAUGGCGAAGGCAGCCAUCUGGCCUAAUACUGACGCUGAGGUACGAAAGCAUGGGGAGCAAACA
rnacentral:rRNA from 1 species